rnacentral:rRNA from 1 species
UACGUAGGGGGCAAGCGUUAUCCGGAUUUACUGGGUGUAAAGGGAGCGUAGACGGCUGUGCAAGUCUGAAGUGAAAGGCAUGGGCUCAACCUGUGGACUGCUUUGGAAACUGUGCAGCUAGAGUGUCGGAGAGGUAAGUGGAAUUCCUAGUGUAGCGGUGAAAUGCGUAGAUAUUAGGAGGAACACCAGUGGCGAAGGCGGCUACUGGACGAUGACUGACGUUGAGGCUCGAAAGCGUGGGGAGCAAACAGGAUUAGAUACCCUGGUAGUCCACGCCGUAAACGAUGACUGCUAGGUGUCGGGUAGCAAAGCUAUUCGGUGCCGCAGCUAACGCAAUAAGCGGUCCACCUGGGGAGUACGUUCGCAAGAAUGAA